rnacentral:rRNA from 1 species
GACGAACGCUGGCGGCGUGCCUAAUACAUGCAAGUAGAACGCUGAAGGAGGAGCUUGCUUCUCUGGAUGAGUUGCGAACGGGUGAGUAACGCGUAGGUAACCUGCCUGGUAGCGGGGGAUAACUAUUGGAAACGAUAGCUAAUACCGCAUAAGAGUAGAUGUUGCAUGACAUUUGCUUAAAAGGUGCAAUUGCAUCACUACCAGAUGGACCUGCGUUGUAUUAGCUAGUUGGUGGGGUAACGGCUCACCAAGGCGACGAUACAUAGCCGACCUGAGAGGGUGAUCGGCCACACUGGGACUGAGACACGGCCCAGACUCCUACGGGAGGCAGCAGUAGGGAAUCUUCGGCAAUGGACGGAAGUCUGACCGAGCAACGCCGCGUGAGUGAAGAAGGUUUUCGGAUCGCAAAGCUCUGUUGUAAGAGAAGAACGAGUGUGAGAGUGGAAAGUUCACACUGUGACGGUAUCUUACCAGAAAGGGACGGCUAACUACGUG